UAGUGAUUAGAGUUUGAUCCUGGCUCAGAUUGAACGCUGGCGGAAUGCUUUACACAUGCAAGUCGAACGGCAGCACAGGGGCUUGCUCCUGGUGGCGAGUGGCGAACGGGUGAGUAAUGCGUCGGAACGUACCGAGUAAUAGGGGAUAACGCACCGAAAGGUGUGCUAAUACCGCAUACGCCCUGAGGGGGAAAGCAGGGGAUCGUAAGACCUUGCGUUAUUCGAGCGGCCGACGUCUGAUUAGCUAGUUGGUGGGGUAAAGGCCUACCAAGGCGACGAUCAGUAGCGGGUCUGAGAGGAUGAUCCGCCACACUGGAACUGAGACACGGUCCAGACUCCUACGGGAGGCAGCAGUGGGGAAUUUUGGACAAUGGGGGCAACCCUGAUCAGCCAUUCCGCGUGAGUGAAGAAGGCCUUCGGGUUGUAAAGCUCUUUCAGCCGGAACGAAACGGUACGCUCUAACAUAGCGUGCUAAUGACGGUACCAGCAGAAGAAGCACCGGCUAACUACGUGCCAGCAGCCGCGGUAAUACGUAGGGUGCGAGCGUUAAUCGGAAUUACUGGGCGUAAAGCGUGCGCAGGCGGAUUGUUAAGCAAGACGUGAAAUCCCCGGGCUUAACCUGGGAAUGGCGUUUUGAACUGGCAGUCUAGAGUGUGUCAGAGGGGGGUAGAAUUCCACGUGUAGCAGUGAAAUGCGUAGAGAUGUGGAGGAAUACCAAUGGCGAAGGCAGCCGCCUGGGAUAACACUGACGCUCAUGUACGAAAGCGUGGGUAGCGAACAGGAUUAGAUACCCUGGUAGAAUCG
rnacentral:rRNA from 1 species